UACCAGCACCCCGAGUGGUCGGGACGGUUAUUGGGCCUAAAGCAUCCGUAGCCGGUUCUACGAGUCUUCCGUUAAAUCCAACUGCUUAACAGGUGGGCUGCGGAAGAUACUAUAGAGCUAGGAGGCGGGAGAGGCAAGCGGUACUCGAUGGGUAGGGGUAAAAUCCGUUGAUCCAUUGAAGACCACCAGUGGCGAAGGCGGCUUGCCAGAACGCGCUCGACGGUGAGGGAUGAAAGCUGGGGGAGCAAACCGG
rnacentral:rRNA from 1 species